UACAGAGGUGGCAAGCGUUGUUCGGAAUCACUGGGCUUAAAGGGCGCGUAGGCGGCUUGCCAAGUCAGGGGUGAAAUCCAGCAGCUUAACUGUUGAAGUGCCUUUGAUACUGGCGAGCUCGAGGGAGGUAGGGGUAUGCGGAACUUCUGGUGGAGCGGUGAAAUGCGUUGAUAUCAGAAGGAACGCCGGUGGCGAAAGCGGCGUACUGGACCUCUUCUGACGCUGAGGCGCGAAAGCUAGGGGAGCAAACGGG
rnacentral:rRNA from 1 species